AAGUCGUAACAAGGUUUCCGUAGGUGAACCUGCGGAAGGAUCAUUAACACGUAUCCAACGUUAAAACCCCUGUGAACUUUCAGCCUGCUCUUGUGGCCCGUGUGAAGCAGCAAUUCCGGUAAAUCAAGUGGGAACCUCUGCUCCAUAUGCGCACGCUGCAAUUGAGCGGUAGAAGCAGUGGCAUGGCGUCCCCAAGCCUCCAGUGAAUGAAAGUGUCACUGGAAAGUGUAAGGAUAACGCUUCUCGGUUGCUAGAGGUCGAUCACCGACCGGCAGACAUGCUACAGGGUCACCGCGCCCCUAAUCACUCCCUCUGAAAAGUAUGACGGCGCCGUUGAAAUGCCGCGCUAAAAAAAACCGAACAACUGUUAACAAUGGAUAUCUUGGUUCUC
rnacentral:misc_RNA from 1 species